rnacentral:snoRNA from 1 species
CACAAGGAUGAAAAAAAUUUACACAGACCUGAUCUGAAUAGGGUUUCGGCCCUGAUGCAGAUAACCCAAUAUUGCCUAAUAAACUGAUG